UGGUUUCGCUACCGGGAC
rnacentral:misc_RNA from 1 species